UACGGAGGGUGCAAGCGUUAUCCGGAAUCACUGGGUUUAAAGGGUGCGUAGGCGGCUUGGUAAGUCAGAGGUGAAAGCCCGCAGCUUAACUGCGGAACUGCCUUUGAUACUGCCGAGCUUGAAAGAGGUUGAGGUCAGCGGAACGUGACAUGUAGCGGUGAAAUGCAUAGAUAUGUCACAGAACACAAAUUGCGAAGGCAGCUGGCUGGGCCUUCUUUGACGCUGAGGUACGAAAGCGUGGGGAGCGAACAGG
rnacentral:rRNA from 1 species